AGCUUGCUGGGUGGAUGAGUGGCGAACGGGUGAGUAACACGUGAGUAACCUGCCCCCUUCUUUGGGAUAACGCCCGGAAACGGGUGCUAAUACUGGAUAUUCACUGGCCUUCGCAUGGGGGUUGGUGGAAAGGUUUUUUCUGGUGGGGGAUGGGCUCGCGGCCUAUCAGCUUGUUGGUGGGGUGAUGGCCUACCAAGGCUUUGACGGGUAGCCGGCCUGAGAGGGUGACCGGUCGCAUUGGGACUGAGAUACGGCCCAGACUCCUACGGGAGGCAGCAGUGGGGAAUAUUGCACAAUGGGCGAAAGCCUGAUGCAGCGACGCCGCGUGAGGGAUGGAGGCCUUCGGGUUGUAAACCUCUUUCGCUCAUGGUCAAGCCGCAACACUUGGUUGUGGUGAGGGUAGUGGGUAAAGAAGCGCCGGCUAACUACGUGCCAGCAGCCGCGGUAAUACGUAGGGCGCGAGCGUUGUCCGGAAUUAUUGGGCGUAAAGGGCUUGUAGGCGGUUGGUCGCGUCUGCCGUGAAAUCCUCUGGCUUAACUGGGGGCGUGCGGUGGGUACGGGCUGACUUGAGUGCGGUAGGGGAGACUGGAACUCCUGGUGUAGCGGUGGAAUGCGCAGAUAUCAGGAAGA
rnacentral:rRNA from 1 species